GACGAACGCUGGCGGCGUGCUUAACACAUGCAAGUCGAACGGAAAGGCCCUGCUUUUGUGGGGUGCUCGAUUGGCGAACGGGUGAGUAACACGUGAGUAACCUGCCCUUGACUUUGGGAUAACUUCAGGAAACUGGGGCUAAUACCGGAUAGGAGCUCCUGCAGCAUGGUGGGGGUUGGAAAGUUUCGGCGGUUGGGGAUGGACUCGCGGCUUAUCAGCUUGUUGGUGGGGUAGUGGCUUACCAAGGGUUUGACGGGUAGCCGGCCUGAGAGGCUGACCGGCCACAUUGGGACUAAGAUAGGGACCAGACUCCUAUGGGAGGCAGCAGUGGGGAAUAUUGCGCAAUGGGCGGAAGCGUGAUGCAGCAACGCCGCGUGCGGGAAGACGGCCUUUGGGUUGUAAACCGCUUUCGAAUGUGACGAAGCGUGAGUGACGGUAAUGAGUAAAGAAGCCCCGGCUAACUACGUG
rnacentral:rRNA from 1 species